CCCUUAGAUGUCCUGGGCCGCACGCGCGCUACACUGAUGCAUGCAACGAGUUUAUAACCUUGGCCUGAAAGGUCUGGGUAAUCUUUUGAACGUGCAUCGUGAUAGGGAUAGAUUAUUGCAAUUAUUAAUCUUGAACGAGGAAUUCCUAGUAAACGCAGAUCAUCAAUCUGCAUUGAUUACGUCCCUGCCCUUUGUACACACCGCCCGUCGCACCUACCGAUUGGAUGGUCCGGUGAAGCCUCGGGAUUGUGGUUCUUGCCGCUUUAUUGUGGCGUGACCGCGAGAACUUGUCUAAACCUUAUCAUCUAGAGGAAGGUGAAGUCGUAACA
rnacentral:rRNA from 1 species